GGAUGCACAAAGGGCCUUGUAAUGCAAGGUUAUGCGACUGCGCUCUUAAAGUGUUUGAUUCUAUGUCUAAAUGGGGCUCUUAUCAUUAGCAUUAUUUUUGUUUUCUGUCGGGGGAUAUCGGAUUCUUGACUCUGAAUCUUUGACUGCCAUGCCACGCGACAAACUAUUGGGCAAAUUAUUCGAAGGAGGCUUUAUUAUUAUUAUUUUAUUU
rnacentral:misc_RNA from 1 species